GAUGAACGCUGGCGGCGUGCCUAAUACAUGCAAGUCGAGCGAACAGACGAUGAGCUCGCUCCUCUGACGUUAGCGGCGGACGGGUGAGUAACACGUGGAUAACCUACCUAUAAGACUGGGAUAACUUCGGGAAACCGGAGCUAAUACUGGAUAAUAUAUUCAACCGCAUGGUUCAAUAGUGAAAGACGGCUUUGCUGUCACUUAUAGAUGGAUCCGCGCCGCAUUAGCUAGUUGGUAAGGUAACGGCUUACCAAGGCGACGAUGCGUAGCCGACCUGAGAGGGUGAUCGGCCACACUGGAACUGAGACACGGUCCAGACUCCUACGGGAGGCAGCAGUAGGGAAUCUUCCGCAAUGGGCGAAAGCCUGACGGAGCAACGCCGCGUGAGUGAUGAAGGUCUUCGGAUCGUAAAACUCUGUUAUUAGGGAAGAACAAAUGUGUAAGUAACUAUGCACGUCUUGACGGUACCUAAUCAGAAAGCCACGGCUAACUACGUG
rnacentral:rRNA from 1 species